rnacentral:rRNA from 1 species
AACGAACGCUGGCGGCAUGCCUAACACAUGCAAGUCGAACGAAGCCUUCGGGCUUAGUGGCGCACGGGUGCGUAACGCGUGGGAAUCUGCCCUUGGGUUCGGAAUAACAGUUAGAAAUGACUGCUAAUACCGAAUGAUGUCUUCGGACCAAAGAUUUAUCGCCCAAGGAUGAGCCCGCGUCGGAUUAGCUAGUUGGUGAGGUAAAGGCUCACCAAGGCGACGAUCCGUAGCUGGUCUGAGAGGAUGAUCAGCCACACUGGGACUGAGACACGGCCCAGACUCCUACGGGAGGCAGCAGUGGGGAAUUUUGCGCAAUGGACGAAAGUCUGACGCAGCAACGCCGCGUGGGUGAUGAAGGUCUUCGGAUUGUAAAACCCUGUCGUCGAGGACGAAGGUGGGGUCGUUAAUAGCGAUCUUGCUUGACGGUACUCGGAGAGGAAGCCCCGGCUAACUCUGUGCCAGCAGCCGCGGUAAU